CGAUACUUGGUGUGAAUUGCAGAAUUCAGUGAAUCAUCGAAUCUUUGAACGCACAUUGCGCCCGCCAGCAUUCUGGCGGCAUGCCUGUUCGAGCGUCAUUUCAACCCUCGAGCUCGUCUUCAUUGACGAGAUCGGUGUUGAGACCCGGCGAGCGAGGACGCAGUCCUCUGCCGGUCUCGAAAUUCAGUGGCGGCCCGUUGCGGCGACCUCUGCGUAGUAACUCAACCUCGCACUGGGACAGCAUCGCGGCCACGCCGUAAAACCCCCGACUUUUUUAAGGUUGACCUCGAAUCAGGUAGGACUACCCGCUGAACUUAA
rnacentral:rRNA from 1 species